AAUAUUCUGGCUCUCUCCCUUGAGGAUAGGACCAUACAUUGCAAACAUUUUUGGUUUUAUUUGACAGAGGACGCUCUGCUGCCCAAUGUGUCCAGGCAAGAUUCAGCAACAGAAUCACAUUUUACUUAGAUAUGGGAUACACAAAAUGCACAAAGCAAGAUGGGCCAUUAACAAGUAUGGUACUACAAAAUAGGGCUAACAGGUUCAGUGGCACAUGGAGUAAUAAACUGACAUAGCCCCUAAAGUGGCAUGUUCCAGGUUCCAUUGUGUAUAACUGGCAGCAGUGUAAUUAAGAGUCCACUUAGUGAAUUCUUUAAAUGAUUGAUUAACUUUAAUGUCGUAAUGAAAAGUUAAAACCAGCAAGAUUAGAUAAACCAAAAAAAAAAAAAAAUGAUCAGAACAAUGUAACUUUGAACAUCUAUAAUUCUAAUUUAAGUGGGCACUCCAUUUGCUGAUGACUAUGUAAUGUGAUUGAAAGCUCCAGAACAGCUACUAAAUGGACCUUGUGGUCACAUUAGUUUUCUCAUCUAGAUAAACAUGACUUUAUGACUGAAAAUUGGACAAGAUUCUGAAAGUGAUCUUGUAGUCUGUUAAUGAUGGAAAUAUGAUCACAGUUUGCCUCCCACGACUGUAAUGUGUAAAUUAUUUAUUAAAUGUGUGAUGCAGAGUUCUUUCACAGUUGGUUAUAAUUUCCCCAAGAGUGUUCACCAUCGUCAGCCUGCUGUGUGUCACCAAGCACCACGGUGAAUUAAUUCAAUGAGAGAAAGACAGAAGGGCAAGCUGGUACAGGAGUCAGGUUCAGAAAAAGUGUUAAGUGCUAGAGCAUCAUCACAAAGUUGGAACAGUUAUGUAGCGCCAUUAUUGUAGGAUCUAUAAGUGAGAUGUUCUCCUUUACUGGCUUACAAGAACAGCAAGUGUUUUUUUUUUAAAUACUGUAUCAUUGUGCCAUUACUUAUUGAUCAAUAUUCUGCCUUCAGAUUGCUUGGUUUUGUCCAUCCAUUAUCAGCAAUUAACAAAAUUGUAAAAAAAAAAAAUGCUUCUUUCUGUCUGAAGAAGACUCAAAAGAUUAAAAAUAACCCAACCCAAGGUUCAGUGUUGUCAGGCAGGCCUACUCAUGUCAUUUGUUUUUUAAGGACCAACACCUUUGUGGAAGGACUGUUAACACAACACUUUCUGAAGACAUUCAAAUGGGUGUCUCAGGUCCUUGGAGUAGUUUUGCACACCCAUUUGCUACAUAUCUCAGAUCUCUCUCAGAUCUUACAGUACUUCCUCAUUUAUUUUGCAUACAUCCUGGUAGAUCUGUGUGCUCUCCAUCAUGUUGGACGAUGAUUUCCAUGACCAUUUCUCUCCUUGCAGCAGGAUCAAUAUCCUCAAAAUGGAAGAAGAUUUAUGUUUAUGGGAACUAGGCUUGUCACUUGAUAUUCUGAUAGAUCUCUUCAGACGUCUUGUUUGAAAGACAUUUCUUGAUAUAAACUUGAACAAUAUAAAAUAGCAGCCAAUCACUGGGAAACUGACUAUUCAAAUGAAUCAACUAAUCAUUUCACUGCUACUUACAGAUACAAUAUCAUGAACACCUGUGCAAUCCAAUACAGCAGUCCCUCUUUAAAACAAUAUGAACAACAUGACGUUUUUAAUUUAAAAAAAAUAAUAUAAAAGAUUAUGAUAGAUAUAUAUUAAUUUUCUGAUUAGUCACAUUUACAGAAUAGUUACAGCCCCUGUUAGUAAACUCCAAACCCAGCCCAAUCUUUCUAAGAAGAUGAGGAAAAACUCCAACAAGUGUUGUCGAACAAGACUGACACAGCGACAAUGGCUCAGUUGAAGCCGGCAGCUCUUUUAACCAGAUCAGCUGCCGGCUUCAACAUGGACAUUGUGGCCAUUCAGCCUCAGUUCUACUGCUUCAAAGAGGAGCCAUAUAUGGGAACCACAGCAGCAUUGAUCAUGGAUGACGGGGAGCUGGAGGUCCAUCUGUGGUCCUGAGAGGUCCGGUCUGGAUCAUAUCAGCCAGGAGUGACGUUUAAGGGUCUCCAGGGUGGGCCGAUCCUCUGGGCACUUCUCCAGGCAGCUCAGCAGAAAAUCCUGGCAGUCUGGAUAGAAAAACAGGAAUCACAUUUAAUACAAAGACUGUGGUCUACGUGUGCUUUACCGUAUGUGUGUGUUUAUUACUUACCAUAGGACAGACCAUGUCUGAUUUCUGGCUCCUCAUUGACGAUGCCACACCGUAGUGGGUUCAGCCCUGUAGCUCUGAGAGAGGAACCACUCGCGCUGGUGUAGUCGAAGGUCCCUACAGUACACAUAACACACAGAGACAAGGUUUAGUGGU
ensembl:lncRNA